rnacentral:rRNA from 1 species
CCUACGGGAUGCAGCAGUGGGGAAUAUUGGACAAUGGGCGAAAGCCUGAUCCAGCCAUGCCGCGUGUGUGAAGAAGGCCUUCGGGUUGUAAAGCACUUUCAGUGGGGAAGAAAGCCUUGGGGCUAAUACCCUCGAGGAAGGACAUCACCCACAGAAGAAGCACCGGCUAACUCCGUGCCAGCAGCCGCGGUAAUACGGAGGGUGCGAGCGUUAAUCGGAAUUACUGGGCGUAAAGCGCGCGUAGGCGGUCUGAUAAGCCGGUUGUGAAAGCCCCGGGCUCAACCUGGGAACGGCAUCCGGAACUGUCAGGCUAGAGUGCAGGAGAGGAAGGUAGAAUUCCCGGUGUAGCGGUGAAAUGCGUAGAGAUCGGGAGGAAUACCAGUGGCGAAGGCGGCCUUCUGGACUGACACUGACGCUGAGGUGCGAAAGCGUGGGUAGCAAACAGGAUUAGAUACCCCAGUAGUC